AUUGAACGCUGGCGGCAGGCCUAACACAUGCAAGUCGAACGAGUGGCGGACGGGUGAGUAAUGUCUGGGAAACUGCCUGCUGGAGGGGGAUAACUACUGGAAACGGUAGCUAAUCCCGCAUAACAUCAGAUGUGCCCAGAGCGGAUUAGCUUGUUGGUGUGGUAACGGCUCACCAAGGCGACGAUCCCUAGCUGGUUUGAGAGGAUGACCAGCAAACCUGGAACUGAGACACGGUCCAGACUCCUCCGGGAGGCAUCAGUGGGGAAUAUUGCACAAUGGGCGCAAGCCUGAUGCAGCCAGGCCGCGUGUAUGAAGAAGGCCUGCGGGUUGUAAAGUACUUUCAGCGGGGAGGCGUUACCCGCAGAAGAAGCACCGGCUAACUCCGUGCCAGCAGCCGCGGUAAUAC
rnacentral:rRNA from 1 species